rnacentral:rRNA from 6 species
GACACGACUCUCGGCAAUGGAUAUCUCGGCUCUCGCAUCGAUGAAGAGCGCAGCGAAAUGCGAUACGUGGUGCGAAUUGCAGAAUCCCGCGAACCAUCGAGUCUUUGAACGCAAGUUGCGCCCGAGGCCAACCGGCUGAGGGCACGUCCGCCUGGGCGUCAAGC